UUCUUCCUCCUCCUCCUCCUCCUCCGUUCUCACUCGGGUCUUAGGGUUUCGUCGAUUUCUUUUUGAGGGGAAUGUUGUCUGGCUCGAGGACGCUUUUCUUAACCCUCUUAGUUUCAGUGUCGUCGGACCAGGCUUCAUUCCCCCCAAUUAAUUCCACCGCCCCUCGACGAUCUUAACAACAACGACAACGACGAGUGUCGUCGGACCAGGCUUCAUUCCCCCCAAUUAAUUCCACCGCCCCUCAACGACAAUAACAACGACAACGAGAUUGGUGUGAUGAUGAAGCUCCUUUUUGACUUUCAGUUGGGAGUCUGCCCAAAAUCCCCUCUUUCUUCAUCAUUAUUGGCUCUUUUUUUGCCCUCUUAGAUCUUGUAAUCAUGCCUUUCUUACCCUUUUUUGCUUCAUUA